UACGUAGGGGGGCAAGCGUUGUCCGGAUUUAUUGGGCGUAAAGAGCGUGUAGGCGGCCAGACAGGUCCGUUGUGAAAACUCGAGGCUCAACCUCGAGAUGUCGAUGGAAACCGUCUGGCUAGAGUCCGGAAGAGGAGUGUGGAAUUCCUGGUGUAGCGGUGAAAUGCGCAGAUAUCAGGAAGAACACCUAUGGCGAAGGCAGCACUCUGGGACGGUACUGACGCUGAGACGCGAAAGCCAGGGGAGCGAACGGG
rnacentral:rRNA from 1 species